GCCCGGAUGGUCUAGUGGUAUGUUCUACAAUCAUCCGAAAUCUUCCCGUUCUGUUCUAACAGUUCAUAAUCAGGUAUGAUUCCUGCUUCGGGAAAUGAAUAUGCAGGAGGUCCCGCGUUCGAAUCGCGGUUCGGGCC
rnacentral:tRNA from 1 species